UGCCAUCCGCCGCGGUAAUACGUACUGUGCGAACGUUAUUCGGAAUCACUGGACUUAAAGGGUGCGUAGGCGGCCAGUUAAGUAGGGUGUGAAAGCUCUCGGCUCAACCGAGGAACUGCGCUCUAAACUGAUUGGCUUGAGUAAGAUAGGGGUGUGCGGAACUUCCGGUGGAGCGGUGAAAUGUGUUGAUAUCGGAAGGAACACCAGUAGCGAAGGCGGCACACUGGGUCUUUACUGACGCUGAGGCACGAAAGCUAGGGUAGCGAACGGGAUUAGAUA
rnacentral:rRNA from 1 species